CAAUCAUUAUACAGCUGGUGAAGAUGACGACUUGAAAUGGGACCUGUUAGUCUGUUAGCAUAGCAUAUGCUAAGUCCACUGUGUGGAGACUCUGUGGACAACAGAUUAAAAGCCUACUUUAGUCAGUUUGUGUCUUUGUGGUUAUUGUUUGUGUCGUUGUGGUUAUUGUUUGUGUCUUUGUGGUUGUUGUUUGUGUCUUUGAGGUUGUUUGUGUCUUUGUGGUUAUUGUUUGUGUCUUUGUGGUUGUUGUUUGUGUCUUUGAGGUUGUUGUGUCUUUGUGGUUGUUUGUGUCUUUGAGGUUGUUGUGUCUUUGUGGAUAUUGUUUGUGUCUUUGUGGUUGUUGUGUCUUUGUGGUUGCUGUUUGUGUCUUUGUGGUUGUUGUUUGUGUCUUUGAGGUUGCUGUGUCUUUGUGGUUAUUGUUUGUGUCUUUGUGGUUGUUGUUUGUGUCUUUGUGGUUGUUGUUUGUGUCUUUGAGGUUGCUGUGUCUUUGAGGUUGUUUGUGUCUUUGAGGUUGUUGUUUGUGUCUUUGAGGUUGUUGUGUCUUUGUGGUUGUUUGUGUCUUUGUGGUUGUUGUUUGUGUCUUUGUGGUUGUUGUGUCUUUGUGGUUGUUGUUUGUGUCUUUGAGGUGUUGUGUCUUUGUGGCUGUUGUUUGUGUCUUUGUGGUUGUUGUUUGUGUCUUUGUGGCUGCUGUUUGUGUCUUUGAGGGUGUUGUGUCUUUGUGGUUGUUGUUUGUGUCUUUGUGGUUAUUGUUUGCGUCUUUGAGGUUGUUGUGUCUUUGUGGUUGUUGUUUGUGUCUUUGUGGUUAUUGUUUGUGUCUUUGUGGUUGUUGUUUGUGUCUUUGUGGUUAUUGUUUGUGUCUUUGUGGUUGUUGUUUGCGUCUUUGAGGUUGUUGUGUCUUUGUGGUUGUUGUUUGUGUCUUUGUGGUUAUUGUUUGUGUCUUUGUGGUUGUUGUUUGCAUCUUUGAGGUUGUUUGUGUCUUUGUGGUUAUUGUUUGUGUCUUUGUGGUUAUUGUUUGCGUCUUUGAGGUUGUUGUGUCUUUGUGGUUGUUGUUUGUGUCUUUGUGGUUAUUGUUUGUGUCUUUGUGGUUGUUGUUUGCAUCUUUGAGGUUGUUGUGUCUUUGUGGUUGUUGUUUGUGUCUUUGUGGUUAUUGUUUGUGUCUUUGUGGUUGUUGUUUGUGUCUUUGUGGUUGUUGUUUGCGUCUUUGAGGUUGUUGUGUCUUUGUGGUUGUUGUUUGUGUCUUUGUGGUUAUUGUUUGUGUCUUUGUGGUUGUUGUUUGCAUCUUUGAGGUUGUUGUGUCUUUGUGGUUGUUGUUUGUGUCUUUGUGGUUAUUGUUUGUGUCUUUGUGGUUGUUGUUUGCAUCUUUGAGGUUGUUGUGUCUUUGUGGUUGUUGUUUGUGUCUUUGUGGUUAUUGUUUGUGUCUUUGUGGUUGUUGUUUGUGUCUUUGUGGUUAUUGUUUGUGUCUUUGUGGUUGUUGUUUGCGUCUUUGAGGUUGUUGUGUCUUUGUGGUUGUUGUUUGUGUCUUUGUGGUUAUUGUUUGUGUCUUUGUGGUUGUUGUUUGCAUCUUUGAGGUUGUUGUGUCUUUGUGGUUAUUGUUUGUGUCUUUGUGGUUGUUGUUUGCAUCUUUGAGGUUGUUGUGUCUUUGUGGUUAUUGUUUGUGUCUUUGUGGUUGUUGUUUGUGUCUUUGUGGUUAUUGUUUGUGUCUUUGUGGUUGUUGUUUGUGUCUUUGUGGUCAUCUCGACUCUCUCUGUCCAGUAACAAUCACCCAGUCACACCCUCAGAGAUAACUGUGGUACGAUCUGAACGCACAUCUAACUGAACACUUUUCCAUCGUCGUAUUUCUCCACUACAGAG